rnacentral:tRNA from 1 species
GCAGUCGUGGCCGAGUGGUUAAGGCGAUGGACUCGAAAUCCAUUGGGGUUCUUCCGCACAGGUUCGAAUCCUGUCGGCUGCG